GGUCCAUGUGAGGGCUAUGUUGAAGUCUUCCAUGGUGGGAAAUGGGGUAUUGUUGGUGACCAGAAAUGGCAGUCGAAAAAUGAGGAGGUGAUCUGCAAGAGCAUCGGCUGUGGGAAACGCGUAAGCUCGAAAGACAUUCUGUUGAAAAAGGUUCGGCCUAUCACAUGGAUGAACGAGGUGGUAUGCAACGGAAAUGAGCCGUAUCUAUGGAACUGCAAGUUCCCAGGGUGGAAUAUAAGUUCUUAUAACAAGGAUACAGUAAAAAAAAUCACAUGUUCGGAUAAGAUUCAGCUUGAUGUUGAGAGUUCGACUGGGUCCAGAUGUGCUGGAACUCUCAGGUACAACACAACCAACAAGGCCAACAAUGCGGGCUACUUUUGUAAUCCGAAUUGGGAUAAAAAGCAGGCUGAUCUUGUGUGUGAACAUCUCAAAUGUGGCCAAUCUAAGGGUCUCCCAGCAGCCGGAACGUUCUCACAAAUUGAGAAUCUUGUCAACCUCAAAACUAUACAGUGCAGCAACGUAGAGCAUCAGAAACAUAUCUGGCAAUGUAUCACCAAUCAUGAAGGGACGUGUACAGUACCUG